rnacentral:rRNA from 1 species
UACAGAGGUCUCAAGCGUUUGUUCGGAUUCAUUGGGCGUAAAGGGUGCGUAGGCGGCGCGGUAAGUCGGGUGUGAAAUCUCGGAGCUUAACUCCGAAACUGCAUUCGAUACUGCCGUGCUUGAGGACUGGAGAGGAGACUGGAAUUUACGGUGUAGCGGUGAAAUGCGCAGAUAUCAGGAGGAACACCGGUGGCGAAGGCGGGGUCUCUGGGGCCGAUACUGACGCUGAGGAGCGAAAGCGUGGGGAGCGAACAGG